GCAUCGGUGGUCUAGUGGUAGAAUCCUCGCCUGCCACGCGGGUGACCCGGGUUCGAUUCCCGGUCGAUGCA
rnacentral:tRNA from 1 species